UGAUGUAGAGGUUGAUGACGUCAUUGCUGACGCUAUUCAAGACACAUACAGAGAUCCUCAACGUAAAUUCGGAGAAGGAGAUGGCACCAUUCCUGAUACCGGCAACAGCUUUGCUUUUCUUCAGAAACAGAAGGAAGACGAAGACAGGAUAGCGAGGGCGGGGUACAAAUAUAUGAGUCUGAUCAAAAAUCUCAUCCAAAGAUCCGGGAAAACAUUUCGAGAUUUAGAGAGCAGCGAUGAGUAUCAAAGAUCCCUCCGGGCUCAACUGUGUGAUACAGUCCCUACCUCAUGUAAAAAAUACAAGAAUUCAAGAUAUCGAAGUGCUGACGGCUUAUGCAACAAUCUCUGCAAUCCAACAUGGGGUAUGGCAC